AGAGGGGGCAAGCGUUGUUCGGAAUUACUGGGCGUAAAGGGCGCGUAGGCGGCCUUCUAAGUCGAACGUGAAAUCCCUGGGCUCAACCCAGGAACUGCGUCCGAUACUGGGAGGCUUGAAUCCGGGAGAGGGAUGCGGAAUUCCAGGUGUAGCGGUGAAAUGCGUAGAUAUCUGGAGGAACACCGGUGGCGAAGGCGGCAUCCUGGACCGGCAUUGACGCUGAGGCGCGAAAGCCAGGGGAGCAAACGGGAUUAGAUACCCCGGUAGUCCUGGCCCUAAACGAUGAAUGCUUGGUGUGGCGGGUAUCGAUCCCUGCCGUGCCGAAGCUAACGCAUUAAGCAUUCCGCCUGGGGAGUACGGUCGCAAGGCUG
rnacentral:rRNA from 1 species